ensembl:lncRNA
UGGAUUUCUUUCAGCAGGUGACUACAUAAACUAAAUCUUGGCACUGGAACUUCAAGUGAGUGAAGUAUUGUGGUUGAUGGUCUUAAAUCUUUCUUCUGCUAACGCUGUGCAGGAAAGACUGCGACUGAAAUAGGUAUAAUUAGUGAAUCGUGAUUGAAUUCUCAUCAUCAAGAAGACAACAACUCUUUCACAGUUUCUACUUUGAUGUCAUCUCUCAUCUGUAAAGCUGUUCUACUCGAAACCACUUGAAGUCCUCCCCACUUAUGCUUCAGUACUAUAAUGAAAACUGUGUGCAUUUGUGCGUUAUGAACAAAAGUUCAGCAGCAUUAAAGAAGUAGGAGCACUUGUGGCAGACAUAUAGAAUGACUGAUACCCUGGUAUCCAAUUCUCACUUCAGCAAUCAUCCUGGCAAAGCCACUUACACAGGAAAAAUGACAUCAUAUGAAAAAAGGCACUCUGGCUGGAUUAAAUGGAUUAAGAACCGGUUGAUAAAUAUGAAUGGAGUUGCAAGUUGAUGUGGAAAAAGGUUUUUACUGUUUAUUUCUCUAUGAAUGAAUCACGAACAGAAAUUUCUUCAAGUGCAUCAGGAAUUAAUUCCUAGAGACUCCUCGGGCUGACAAACUGAAGAGCCAAAUUUUGCAAGAAAAAGAAUAUUUCUAUUUAUCUGAGAAUCUCUUGCUUCAAACCCUUAUUUCUGAGUGCAAUAUUCACU